rnacentral:tmRNA from 1 species
GGUCUUUGCAAUGGGCGGGUUGUUCCCUAUAUCCCGCUGUGCCGGCUUGUCCGGCUAUGACGAUAAAUCGUGGCGUCAAAUAGGCACAGCGGACCCGGGGGCAGUACCCGGCGGCUCCACCACAAACCCCGUUCAUUGAUGCCGGUAUCGCGGCGGACGGGGGUUCUGACGGGGCCGAACCAGGAUCGACGUGUGUUGAAAAACGCUUGCUUUCGUUCGGGCUGAGUAACCCGUUAAAGGCUCAAACUCACAAGUGCUAACGAUAACGAAGCACUCGCUCUCGCGGCAUAAUUGAGGGCCUCACGGCCUGAGAUUAUUCCAAAAAGAACGCGGCAGGGACCGAGCCGGGCAACAGAAUCGGAAACCAGCGGUUCGGAGGGUACCGGGCAACAGAAACCCUCCACC